UACGUAGGGGGCUAGCGUUGUCCGGAAUCAUUGGGCGUAAAGAGCGUGUAGGCGGCUUGGUAAGUCCGCUGUGAAAGUCCAGGGCUCAACCCUGGAAUGCCAGUGGAUACUGUCAAGCUAGAGUCCGGAAGAGGCGAGUGGAAUUCCCGGUGUAGCGGUGAAAUGCGUAGAGAUCGGGAAGAACACCAGUGGCGAAGGCGGCCUUCUGGACCAGUACUGACGCUCAUGCACGAAAGCGUGGGGAGCAAACAGG
rnacentral:rRNA from 1 species